ACUUCCGGGGGGCGGCGCGAACGGCAAUGGCGGUCUUCUCCCGACGGGAGAGGAGGCUCCGCUGAAAUCGGGUCGUCCGCUACGGCGAAGCGGAGACCCAACGAGGAAAACCCCAGGCAGCAAGAGCCUGGGGUCCUGAGGCUCGGCGGGCGCCACGAGCAGCCCUCCAACUGCAGAAGGAGCCUCGUAAGGGGCUCCGGAGCGUGGAGGGGGGUUGCGGUGCUGAGAGCCGUUUCACAGUCAGCGGAGUGAAGCCGCGCUGCUGCUGCCGGUGAGCGCUGAUCCCUUUUCCUGUCAAAAUUCGGACUUGGAAGAAAAACAACUUAUUCGUGAGUAAAGACUGAAUCACUUGGAAUUACAAAUUUUAAAUGAGAAGGUUUAAUUCGGCUUGAACUUGGCUGAAAGCGGAGAGACGUGGAAACAGGAAGUCCGUCUUCCGCAGCCAUUGAACUUGAAAAAGCAACUAAGGCGGAGGAGUGGAGGCUGAAAGAAAGAGAUUUUAAAUUCUACACAGCCAAGCAUCUAUGGAACUUACAAUUUAAAGUAAAACCAGUAAGCUAAAGAUUUGGACUUUUUAUUUGCACUUGACUUUCCCCUUUUAUUGGAUUACAAAUUGGAAGGUGAAACCCAGAGUCAGGACUGCUUGAGCACUGUAAGAGUGAGCUGUCAGUGUUGAGUUGGAUACUGUAUAUUAGAAUUUGCAACAAUCUGAGGGUAUUGAGACCUUUUAAAUUUGAAACAUUCUUUCUGGAGACAAAUAAGCACUGUCUGCAACAAAGUGAUUACUUUUAAACUCUGCUUAAUACUUAUAUUGGAAGGUUCUGGGACAUUAAAUCAGACUCUGAAAGACAUCUUAAGCUCCCUCUAGAGGAUUGGAUUAAAACAGUGACUUUACAAAUACAUUUACUUUCGAUUCCCUUGUUGUUUGCUUGCUCUGGGCCUUUCUAUUCCUGUGGGAAAAACUCAGUGUGACCUUGACUGAUAGAUAACAUUGGAAUGAGUGGUACAAGAAGAAGAGGAAGAGUCAGACAAACAACCUUAACAACUCUAACCUCAGCCUCGCAGACACGUAGAUCAUCUGUGCCUACUUUGCCCUCAGAAGUACAACUUGAAGAAGCUGCUUUGCCACAGGCAAAAGAGGGAGAGGGUGAAGCAGAGCAGUUACAAUUGGAAGAUAUGGCCUCAGGAGCAUCUGUUUCUGUUCUAGAAAAAUCUUUGAAAAAUUGGAAGCUUUGGACAAGAAAGUAGAUGCGCAAUCAGCAAAGAUUGAUAAAAAUACAGAUUGUCUAAACAAAUUAACUACACAGGUGGGACAGAAUACACAAGCAAUUGGACAGUUAACGGAGGCCUCAGUAGAAAAUCGAAAAUUGGCUGAGGAUACCAGACAAAAAUUGGAAAAUUUAGAGCAAGAGGUAAGACCACUCACUAAACAAGUUGGGGAACAUCAGACUUAUCUUUCUAUGAUAGAACUGCGAAAUCGUGAGAAUAAUUUGAGGAUUAGAUCAUUACAAGAGGCAGAAGAAGGAAAUCUAACUGAGUUUUUGACCAAAGAACUUUCCAAGUUCUGGAAUUUGGAAGAAAAGGACUUUAAAAUUGUGUCAGCUUUCAGACUUGGAAGAUUUAUAAAGAAGGAGAGGCCCAGGGAUUGUUUGAUUACAUUGAGAUCGAAGGAGGAAAGGGAUAAGAUUUUGGGUCUACAUUACGAAAAGUCACUGGAGGUUUUGGAUAGAAGAAUUGAGAUAUAUAAAGAUAUUCCAAGACAACUGUUGGAUCUCAGAGCCGCCUACUCUGAACUUGCUAAAUUAUUAAGGAGCAACGCAAUUCCAUUCAGGUGGGAAUUUCCCCAAGGAUUAUCUUUUACCUUUAGAGCGAGAAAGGUCAAAAUUAGAACAUUGGAAGAGAGAGAUAAAUUUCUGGCUACAUACGGAGAGGACCUACAAAAAGGAAUUGAACUACCUUCUGGGCCUGGGGCAAAGCCAGCAUUAAUACCUGCACCUGGGGAACUUGAAGAUUCAGAGAAGACACCACCCCGGGAGAAAUAACCAGACAGAUCCAGGAUGUCUCUGCAACUGUUGAGCUGGAAUAUUAAUGGUUGUAACAUUCC
rnacentral:lncRNA from 1 species